GUAGAACCAGGGAAUACUUUUCCAGUUCAAUGAGAACAAUUCUGUCAAAUAUGCUCGCAUUGUUUAACAGGGCUCUUUCUUGCAUAACCAGGGGGCUAAUUUUAUGGUCUUAUGAUCAAUGUGUAUCUUAAAUAGUGGCUCAUGCUGAAAACCAUGACUAAGUAGCAAUUGAUAAAAUCCCACUUUGACGUUGAUCCUAUCUCUACGUUAAAGUGUAUACUAGACGUAAUUCCUUGCUGGUCAUGUGGAGGUACUGGACAUACUGCACGGAUUCCCGGUGGUAAUUGGAGGUCCCUCGCGGUGACCGUGCAUUUUCCCACUCAUUCAGCUCGUGGCUACGGGCACGCGGUCUUCCAUCAACGGCUGAUGCGCGGGUUUUCAACACCCUGCUGAAUCCAGGUUUGGGUUUCACUGGGGAUGAUGCCAGUUUACCUGUUUUAGACUUGUUUAAAAAAUGAGAGAAGAUGUGUCUGCUCUUGAUGUGCCACAUACCUGGUCCUGGCUAGAACAUCAGUGUAAGAAAGGGGCCUGUCAUGAUGUCAUGAUCUUGUCAGAUUUUGCUGCUGUGAUCAGUGUAUGGUUGAUGGGAAAUGCAUUUCAAUGCCAAAUGUGGACAAUCUAUAUCACACGUGGUACAGACUACAGCCACAAUAAAAAUGAGUAACAACACACAGAAUGAACUAAGAGACUGAACUAACUUUCUGCUUGAAGAAAAUUGUAAUGAAGAGCCCCCCACCCCCCCUGCCGCCGCCAACUCAGUGGAAAAGUGGACAACUUUGUGGGGAAAAACAUGAAAAAGGGCCUGUGUCCAUUUUAUUGAACCAGUUGAAGUGUGUAUCUGUUUCAUGAAAAAUAAAAUGAACACCAAUAUUGAAAAAAAAAAAAAAACUUUGCCUUUUCAUCCUAAUAAGUGGAGGUCAUAUUCGUGACAUUACCAGCUGGGCUGCUUCCAAUGCCGUAUUAGCCAGGUUAGCGUGAAUGUUUUCUUAUACCGACAAGCCCUGCGCAUCUGAGACAUGCCAGGGAAGUGAUGGAGAGACCUGUGUGCUUGGAAAGGGACCAGGAUGACCUCCCCGAGCUGCUCUCGCAGUUCGAACCGAAUGUCCUGCACUUCCUCCCCGGAGAACAUGGGAAGCAGCUGUCGCGCCGAUCGUCCUGCUUCCUCCAUUACGCGCCAUGAACCCGGCCGCUAGCGGUAAUGACAAAGCCACACGACCUGCCGUCCCAUCUCCCCGUGCUCUCUGCCGUGACUCAGCAAUGCUGCUUUCCUCUGAACAAGCUAAUAUAUCACAGAAUGAAGGUGUCAGACUCCAGUCCCGAAGGGCCACAGUGCAUGCAGGGAAUUGCGGUUCCAAAGCCUUGAGAACGAGCUGUGUGGAUUCUUUGGCCCAGUGGUUCUCAAACUCGGUCCUGGGGGACCCCUGUGUAUGCUGGUUUUCAUUCCAACCUCAACAGCAAUCCCAGAAUUUUAACAAGCUCUUAAUUUUUGUUAAUUAGGUGCUUUUCAUGUUUUAGGGCUGGGGUUCCAGAAAGGGCCAGUGUGGGUGCACACACCUGAUUCUACUAAUCAAUCACUAGAGUGAUUGCUAAGCACCUUGAUUAGUAGAAUCAAGAUCAGGUGUGUGCACCCACACUGACCCUUUUUGGAUAAGACUGUUGAGGUUGGAAUGAAAACAUACACAGGGGUCCCCCAGGACCGAGUUUGAGAACCACUGCUUUAGCCAAUCAGAAUUACUGGUGCUGAAAUGUGCCAAAUACCGACAGACACUCCAGGACUGGAGUCAUACCUGUGUCCUAAGCGAUUUAAGAUCUUACUGCUACUUAACAUCUAUAUUUGUUAAUAUAUCAAUAUGAGCCCGAUGAUGAAAGGCCCUUGUGGAUAUGAACAUAGCUGUACUUCUGCGGCCUUGGAGUUAAAUAGGUGACGACACAACAGAUAUUUGACUAUCAAUCUAACUGUGUUGACUGUGGACUCUCUUAAAAUUAACAUUUGAUGAAUUUUUAUCCAUAGUUUCGCAAAUAAUCAUUUUUCGGGAAGGGGAUUAAAAAUAUUAGUAUGGUUGUCAGCAAUCUAGUUUUUAGAUGAUCCCUUUUGAGAAUCUGACAAUAUAAUUCGAUCUGGUAAACUUGCUCUGUGUGGCCAUAGGAAUGUUGUCUGUUUAUACCUGAUCCCCUCUCCACAAGCAUCAAAGGAAACAUCCUUUGGACAAUUGGGGCCAUGUCUAUUUUUCUCCCUCUCUCCUCAACAGGCAUAAAAAUGGAUAUUUCACAGCCCAGUGUUGGGUGCCAAAUUAUAAUUUAAAAAAAUGGCGUGCUAGCACUGAAAAUUCUAGAUAGGUAAAGAGAGUCUAGUGAAUAGUGCCGUUAGCUAGCUAGUUUCAAGGCUAACAGACCUAUAGCUCACGACCAGGAUGCUGCCUGAUUGCUGAGGCUAGUUUACCUAGCUGGUGAACUUUUUCAUUAACAGGGUUUACCAGGAUUCUUCAUCAAUAUUUAGCUCUAAGGGUUUUCAGGAAGCAUUUGAUUGUACAAUGGUACAGUCACUCAAAGUGAAAUGCCUAGGCCAGUGCUACAGGAAAAUAUGUCAACAUUUCACAUAGCUAUUAUAUAAAGCAUGUAAUGUAGUGCAAUGAAAUGCGAGCCAGUCAAUAGCCUGUUGGAUACUUCUGCUGCCACAACCAGUUGCCACAAGACCAUUGGCUGCAUGGGGGUGUGUAAAAUAAAUAAAGUUAAAUUGUCAGCAUUAAUAACCCUACAUUUUUUCAACAAUUUUUAGCUGCUUGCGGUGGAGUGGGGUGUUGCUGUGGUAUAAUUUGAGGGAGGGAGGUUUGUUCUCAAAGACUUAUGAUGCGCUGGAUGACUGUUGUGGCCUUUGACUAUUAACACAGGAACCACACAGAAACCAUGGAGUAGAUACUG